AUUGAACGCUGGCGGCAUGCCUUACACAUGCAAGUCGAACGGUAACAGGUCUUCGGAUGCUGACGAGUGGCGAACGGGUGAGUAAUACAUCGGAACGUGCCUAGUAGUGGGGGAUAACUACUCGAAAGAGUGGCUAAUACCGCAUGAGAUCUACGGAUGAAAGCAGGGGAUCGCAAGACCUUGUGCUACUAGAGCGGCCGAUGGCAGAUUAGGUAGUUGGUGGGAUAAAAGCUUACCAAGCCGACGAUCUGUAGCUGGUCUGAGAGGACGAUCAGCCACACUGGGACUGAGACACGGCCCAGACUCCGACGGGAGUCAGCAGUGGGGAAUUUUGGACAAUGGGCGCAAGCCUGAUCCAGCAAUGCCGCGUGCAGGAUGAAGGCCUUCGGGUUGUAAACUGCUUUUGUACGGAACGAAAAGCCCUGGGUUAAUACCCUGGGGUCAUGACGGUACCGUAAGAAUAAGCACCGGCUAACUACGUGCCAGCAGCCGCAGUAAUAC
rnacentral:rRNA from 1 species